GUGCUCGCUUCGGCAGCACAGAUACUAAAAUUGGAAUGAUACAGAGAAGAUUAGCUAUGGCCCCUGCGCAGUGAUGACACGCAAGUUUGUGACACGUUCCAUAAAAAA